rfam:Acidimicrobiia bacterium BACL6 MAG-120910-bin40 contig00168_1_120910-bin40, whole genome shotgun sequence.
UAUUUCUUGCAGGGUUGGGUGAAAUCCCCUACCGGCGGUUAAAGCCCGCGAACCUCACGAGCAAUCGUGGGGUUGAUCUGGUGAAAUUCCAGGGCCGACGGUCAGAGUCCGGAUGGGAGCAAGAAGGC